ACAUCCCAUUAGGUUCUGUGGAUGAGGCAUGGUGCUUGGCACAGACUGACACAAGUUUGGGCAAACUUGGCAGAGCAGCCUAACCCAAAGCGAAAAACAGAAAUGAACCAAGAUACAACCUCUGUGGAAAACCCUACUGAACAAAAGCAACUCUGUGGAGUGUCCUCUCAGCUGCAAAUUGAGACAGAAUUGUGGGGCAAGCUUGGCCACUGAUGCAGCAGGGAAGAAGACAGGAACUAGGAAGGGGCAAGGAAGCGAUCCUGAUGAAUGAAGGGUCAGGCAUUUCAUUGUCUGGAUGUGGCGAUCUGCUCACACUGGUCACACCUGGGACUUCCAACAUGAAUGCUUUUGUCACGGAUGCUGCGCUGCUGCUGUUUCUGGUUCUUACUCUGCUUACACCAAGGAGACUGAUGUCCCUGCUAUAACCCCACUUCCGAUGCAGACAGCAAUUCCAAUGCAUUGCAGCUUUCAGGAUUUUCUCACUGUGUUUUUGCCUCUCCUUUUCUUUAAGACAUGAGCAUUUGUCUACGGGGAUGGCCUGAAGUGUAGUCUCCAUUACCCAGAGUCAUCUCACUCUCUGACCUUGACUCAUGAUCUGAGAACAAGUGCUCCCCUGCUUGUCUUCCUGAGGGGCAUCUGUCCCUCUUGCAAACAGAUUUCCUUUGGGCUCUGUCAUUUAGAAAUGCCCUUAUUUAUCUGAAUUAUAGUUCCAGUUCAGAACAUUUA
ensembl:lncRNA novel transcript